rnacentral:rRNA from 1 species
GAUGAACGCUAGCGGCAGGCUUAACACAUGCAAGUCGAGGGGCAGCGUGGAGUAGCAAUACUCUGACGGCGACCGGCGAAAGGGUGAGUAACGCGUGAGCAACAUGCCCGUAGAUGGGGGAUAGUCGAUGGAAACGUCGUGUAAUACCCCGUAACAACGAGGAUCGCAUGGUCCAUGUUUAAUAGAUUUAUUGUCUACGGAUUGGCUCGCGUACCAUUAGCUAGUUGGCGGGGUAACGGCCCACCAAGGCUACGAUGGUUAGGGGUUCUGAGAGGAAGGUCCCCCACAUUGGAACUGAGACACGGUCCAAACUCC